rnacentral:tRNA from 4 species
CGGAGUGUAGCGCAGCCUGGUAGCGCGUCUCGUUCGGGACGAGAAGGUCGCUGGUUCGAGUCCAGCCUCUCCGACCA